rnacentral:rRNA from 1 species
GACAGAGGCCCCGAGCGUUAGGCGGAAUCACUGGGCGUAAAGCGCACGUAGGCGGAUCGAUCAGUCAGGGGUGAAAUCCCAGAGCUCAACUCUGGAACUGCCUUUGAUACUGUCGAUCUGGAGUAUGGAAGAGGAGAGUGGAAUUCCUGGUGUAGCGGUGAAAUGCGCAGAUAUCAGGAAGAACACCGAUGGCGAAGGCAGAUCUCUGGGCCGUAACUGACGCUGAGGAGCGAAAGCGUGGGGAGCGAACAGG